UUUUACAAUGGAGAGUUUGAUCCUGGCUCAGGAUGAACGCUAGCGGCAGGCCUAAUACAUGCAAGUCGAACGAUAGUUGGGGCUUGCCCCAACGAAAAGUGGCGCACGGGUGCGUAACGCGUAUGCA
rnacentral:rRNA from 1 species